CGUAGGGUGCGAGCGUUAAUCGGUAAUUACUGGGCGUAAAGCGUGCGCAGGCGGUUUUGUAAGACAGAUGUGAAAUCCCCGGGCUCAACCUGGGACCUGCAGUUUGUGACUGCAAGGCUAGAGUACGGUAGAGGGGGAUUGGAAUUCCGCGUGUAGCAGUGAAAUGCGUAGAUAUGCGGAGGAACACCGAUGGCGAAGGCAAUCCCCUGGACCUGUACUGACGCUCAUGCACGAAAGCGUGGGGAGCAAACAGGAUUAGAUACCCUGGUAGUCCACGCCCUAAACGAUGUCAACUGGUUGUUGGGUCUUUACUGACUCAGUAACGAAGCUAACGCGUGAAGUUGACCGCCUGGGGAGUACGGCCGCAAGGUUGA
rnacentral:rRNA from 1 species